UACGUAGGUGGCAAGCGUUGUCCGGAAUUAUUGGGCGUAAAGCGCGCGCAGGCGGCUUCUUAAGUCUGAUGUGAAAUCUCGGGGCUCAACCCCGAGCGGCCAUUGGAAACUGGGAAGCUUGAGUACAGAAGAGGAGAGUGGAAUUCCACGUGUAGCGGUGAAAUGCGUAGAUAUGAUGGAGGAACACCAGUGGCGAAGGCGACUCUCUGGUCUGUAACUGACGCUGAGGCGCGAAAGCGUGGGGAGCAACAGG
rnacentral:rRNA from 1 species